UACGUAGGCAGCAAGCGUUUUUCGGAAUUACUGGGCGUAAAGAGUGCGUAGGCGGUGCUCUAAGUUUGGUGUGAAAUCUCCCGGCUCAACUGGGAGGGUGCGCCGAAAACUGGAGUGCUUGAGUGUGGGAGAGGAAAGCGGAAUUCCUGGUGUAGCGGUGAAAUGCGUAGAUAUCAGGAGGAACACCUGCGGUGUAGACGGCUUUCUGGACCACGACUGACGCUGAGGCACGAAAGCGUGGGGAGCAAACAGG
rnacentral:rRNA from 1 species